GAUACAUACAGUCCUAGUUUCAUUGACAAGAGAUGAUACUAACUUCUUUCUUGGAAUAAGCUUUCUCUUUAUUGCAAUACUACACAUCCACAUGAUCGUGCUCAUUGUUGUACUCGAAGAAAAAACCAAGUCCUUACCUGCCACCGUGAGCUUUGCUGUUCUGCUUACAAUGCUCCCCAGGCUUUCCACAGUUGCCACGCACUGAUAAUAUCCUUCAUCGGGUUUAUUAUGCUUGGAAUGCACCACGCUGUUUAUUAAUAAAGACCCAUCUGGCAGCAACUGGCGACGGUCAUCUGAGACCAAGUUUAGAAGAGUCCCAUCUUUCUUCCAUUCGAUCUUCGGAGGAGUUUCACAAUAAGAUGAGCAGUUCAUUAUAACAGAUGCCCCACGAACUGACAGAAUGUCCAUCGGCUCCACCAGGAAGUAAAAAGGAGUGAAGGUUCUCACUACGGACCCUGUGAGGGGGCUCCGGGGGCCGCUCCGCGCGGCGGCGGCCGAGGGCUGCGGCUGCCCGAGGAGCAGCGCCAGCCAGAGGGAGCCGAGCAGCCGCCGCGCUCGCCCCGCCGCCAUCGCUCCGCGCCCCGCGCCCCGCAGCCGCGCUCCCAGCGCCGGCCCCUCCUCCCCGGGGGGCUCCUCCUGCCGCCGGCCCGCGCCUCGCUCCCCGCUCUCGGGCCCCGCGCCUCGCCGAGCGGGCGGCAGGCAGGCUGGCAGACGGCGGUAGGCUCACUCCAUCGCGGGCCGGUCCGCGGUCCCAGUCCCGGCGCCGCGCUCCGCGGCUCCCUCACACGGAGCCGAGGGGCCGCCCGCCC
rnacentral:lncRNA from 1 species